rnacentral:misc_RNA from 1 species
GUGAAUCAUCAAAUCUUUGAACGCAUAUUGCGCUCUCUGGUAUUCCGGAGAGUACGCCUGUUUGAGAAUAAUUAAAAAAAAUCUUUAACCAAUUUUUUUGGUCAAAGGAAAUGAGUUCUCCGCGUUUAUAGCGUUAUCUUGAAAUAAAUGGUCAAGUCUCAUGUUAGUCGAGACGCGUAAUAAUAUUAUGUAGCGAAAUCUUCAUUAUGUGACUAUCAAAUUUUGAUGCAUACAAUUUUGCUUUUGAUGCUA